GCCUGCUGUUCCGCUAGGGCGGGCCGCUAGUGGGUUCGCCCCGGGCGCCUUCGGCUUCGGCGCCGGCCCCAGCGUUCCGUGUGGGCUUUGUGACGCAACGCGCUCCGGUCGCCUCCCUCCCGCGCCGGGCCCGCUGCUCCGGGGACGACGGAGGACAGCGGGCUACGGGGCGGCCGGGCGGGGCAGGCCGAGUCCUCGCGCGUCCCCGCGGACUCGAGCCGCCAUCCGGCCGCGAGGUCUGGGCGCCUCUGCCCGAGGACGCUGGUUUCGAGCGGGGCCAAAGUAAACAAAGCUCGCCUCCAUUUUUUCUGGUUAUGCAGAAAAUCGAAUGUAGACAAGCGAGGCAUUCUGAGGCCGCCCGGGUCUCGGGGCAUUUAGGAAUGUGCAGGUGUAUAUUAGCUUAAAAGUAUUAUACUAAUAAUAAAGGUUGACUUUGCAUAUGAAGAUUCGGGGAAUAGACCACGGACCACAAAGUUAAGAAUGAUAGCAUAUAUUCUACUAGGAAAAAAAAAAAAGCGCCUUCUCACCAUAUACAGACAAAUUCCCGGACUGGAGGGAGAGAGAAUUCAGAGAGAAAAGACUCUUAGGGGACUUCCCUGGUGGCACAGUGGUUAAGAAUCUGCCUGCCACUGCAGGGGACACGGGUUCAAGCCCUGGUCCGGGAAGAUCCCACAUGCCGCGGAGCAACUAAGCCCGUGCGCCACAGCUACUGAGCCUGCGCUCCAGAGCCCAUGAGCCACAACUACUGAGCCCGCAUGCUACAACUACUGAAGCCCAUGCACCUAGAGCCCGUGCUCUGCCACAAGAGAAGCCACCGCGAUGAGAAGCCCACACACCGCAAUGAAGAGUAGCCCCCACUCGCUGCAACGAGAGAAAGCCCACGCGCAGCAACGAAGACCCA